AGGAUGAACGCUGGCGGUGUGCCUAAUACAUGCAAGUCGAACGAAGCCCUCGGGCUUAGUGGCGGACGGGUGAGUAACACGUUGGUACCUACCCCGAAGUGGGGAAUAACUGCCCGAAAGGGUGGCUAAUACCGCAUAAUACCGCAAGGUUAAAGCAGUAAUGCGCUUCGGGAGGGGCCUGCGUCCCAUUAGCUAGUUGGUGAGGUAAUUGCUCACCAAGGCGACGAUGGGUAGCUGGAUCGAGAGGUUGACCAGCCACACUGGGACUGAGAUACGGCCCAGACUCCUACGGGAGGCAGCAGUAAGGAAUCUUCCACAAUGGACGAAAGUCUGAUGGAGCAACACCGCGUGCAGGAUGGACGGCCUUCGGGUUGUAAACUGCUUUUAUAUAGGAAGAUUAUGACGGUACUAUAUGAAUAAGGACCGGCUAACUACGUGCCAGCAGCCGC
rnacentral:rRNA from 1 species